UUUCCAGUUGAACCAGUUGACCCCAGUUAACUAGGUUCAACUGGAAUUUUGACCUGGGAGUACCCUGCAAAACUCCUGAAGCUUCAUUGGAUAGGUUGCUGCUCUUCUUCAAGAAUGACUUGUUGGGUGCGACCUGUCAGAAAAUCCUGUAUCCAGGACAAGAGAUUCAAUAGGAUCUUCACCAUACAAUGAAGUAACUUAAUGCAAUCCCGUUAUUACUCAAUCUGGCCAGUAGCUAUAAAGACCAUGCUUUGACAGAAACUCUGAUACAAAUGUUUCUGACAAUGAUUUGUAAAUCAUCAUGCUGCUGUUCUGUAGAUUUGUCUAUGUGAAAUGUUUGACAUCACUGAAGGAGCAAGUAUCAUCAAAGGACUAUGGUUAGUUGUGUUAAAUGCAAACAUUGGAUGCAUAUGAGAAUGCAUGGUGCAGAUUGAUCAAGUUCUGACAAUGCAAAAAGGAAAUGUAUUCAAUAUUUGUUGUACUAAAAUCACUCUUAGAUGCUUGUCCUUGGAAAAAAUGCUCUCCAUGAAUAUGCAAAAGACACAAAAACUUGUAUACCCAACACUUAAAUGCAGAUAAUGCCAUGUAGAUUUCAAUCCUGUCCUCCGUCACUUUUCCUUGAAAAAAAAAACAUUUCCUCAGACGUGCUGUGAAUGAUUUUUUCUGGUACCUACAAAUGAUGACACUUGAAGCAUUUUCCCUUAAUCCAAUGACAAACAUUUGUGUGUGUGGUCUAUAUAGAUGUAUCCCUGCACGUAUGUAUUUUAUUAAGUCAGAAGUUAUGAAUGAUUGUUGUACAAAUUGUAAAUGAAUUCCAUUUUGUAAUUGAAAAGUGUUUGAUACUUCAUAAUGUAUUAAGUGUAGUUGCUACAAUAUGAAAUGGACUCUAUUUGCUCCUAUAAUCCAUAAAACCAUAUCAUUUAGUUGUGUACAGUAGAUAGAAUGAAUGAAUGAACGAAUGAAUGGAUGAGAGUUAUGUGUUUGUGCACCUUUCCCAUCCCCAAAAUGCUAUGCAAGACAGUAUGAUUCAUUAUUGAAGUUGUAAAUGCGUACAUGUAAGAAAUCUUUUGAUAUUGAAAGAAAUCUUUAUGUGCUUGUUCAUUUUCCAAUUUGCUUGAUAUUGUAGGAGUUUGUUGACCAUCAUACUGCCUUACAUGCAUUAGUGUUGUUCUUUUUUGUGUUGUCUUCAAAGCCACGGUGCGAUGUAAAAAAAAUUUCCUUGAAUCCCACUCGAGUAAUAGUUUUUUUCACGCCUUUGAUAUUUUUUCUUCGCAGAACUCUGGUAAGUUCUGAGUAUAAAGUGCUAACAAUUAUUGGUGUAUAAGGGUAAAAAAACAAAUUAAUAUUCUUUAUUCCGGUUGCAAGUGUAUUAAAUCUAUUAAAUCAUUUGCAGAACCCGCUGCUAAGCAAGGAUUCACACUGCCUCUAGCCACCGGGCAAACUCAGUUGUGUAAUUAUGUUUUGGGGGGGACUUGCAACUUGAGAGAACAGAAAGUUCCAUUUGUUUCUGGGGUAUAAAGGUCAAAGGUAUGGAACUAUCCCCCUUUUUUACACCUUGAUAAUGCCAUUUUGCAUUAUGACUUAACCUGUGAAAUUCCAAUCAGAUAGUAUACUUUAUAUUCCCAGAAGUUCACAAAAUUCUACACUCCUCAUUUACAUUCAAGCUUAGGAGUUACAACAACAUACCUUUUUUA